rnacentral:rRNA from 1 species
ACGCUGGCGGCGUGCAUAACACAUGCAAGUCGAACGAUGAAACUUAGAUGAUUUCUUCGGAAUGAACUUAAGCGGAUUAGUGGCGAACGGGUGAGUAACACGCGAGUAACCUGCCUUACACAAGGGGAUAGCCUUUGGAAACGAAGAAUAAUACCCUAUAACGUCAAUUUAUCGCAUGAUAGAAUGACCAAAGAUUUAUCGGUGUAAGAUGGACUUGCGUCUGAUUAGCUAGUUGGUGAGAUAAAGGCCCACCAAGGCAACGAUCAGUAGCCGGCUUGAGAGAGUGUACGGCCACAUUGGGACUGAGACACGGCCCAAACUCCUACGGGAGGCAGCAGUGGGGAAUUUUGCACAAUGGGGGAAACCCUGAUGCAGCGACGCCGCGUGAUUUAGAAGGCCUUCGGGUUGUAAAAAUCUUUUUUAUGGGAUGAAAAUGACAGUACCAUAAGAAUAAGGUCCGGCUAAAUACGUGCCAGCAGCCGCGGUAAUACGUAUGGACCGAGCGUUGUCCGGAAUCAUUGGGCGUAAAGGGUACGUAGGCGGCCCAGUAAGUUAGAAGUGAAAUAAUAUAGCUCAACUAUAUAAAGCUUUUAAAACUGCUAGGCUUGAGAGAUGGAAGGGAAAGUGGAAUUCCUAGUGUAGCGGUGAAAUGCGCAGAUAUUAGGAAGAAUACCGGUGGCGAAGGCGACUUUCUGGUCAUCAUCUGACGCUGAGGUACGAAAGCGUGGGUAGCAAACAGGAUUAGAUACCCUGGUAGUCCACGCUGUAAACGAUGAGUGUUAGGUUCUUGGAAUAAUCUGGGAGCCGCAGCUAACGCAUUAAACACUCCGCCUGGGGAGUACGCACGCAAGUGUA